UAGUAGGCUUGAGAGGGAGGCCUGGCUAAGGCCUAUUCACUUGUGGUUCCUUCUUCCUGAGAUAAGGAAUGCUCCAGAGAGGAGCACAAAAAAGGGGUUACAGACAGGAGUGUGGGUGCUCCCUCCCAAAGGCUCCACCGGAGUCAUUGCUUUCCCAUAGUUGCAGAAUGGAGGCCUCACCUAAGUCUCACCAGCAACGCACUCUAGCCUUGCUCUGCACAGCAGUCAGGGCAGAACCGCACACGUGUGGCAUGGAAUGACUAGAUACUCAGGCCUCCAGGAAAGGGAAGCUGACCCAUCGGGCGGGCAGCAGUUGAGUGAGGUACAGAAGCUGCCAGCUGAGGGACUGGGUGAAGUCUUGACUCAACAAGAUUGAAAAGCAAGAGAGACAUCCAGGGUGGACAAGCUCAAUCUGGGACUGGACAGUUAGGAAUUGCUUCUUUUUAAAAACCCCAAAGUGGAAUUCUCAUUUCUCCAAGAUGAUGUACAGACCUUCAGAGAAAUCUGGACUGAUACCCCGAGUGCUGAGACCAUGAAGACAGGACACUUUUGGGGGACAGGAUGUCCUCUCACUGUACUCCUUAAAACUUUUCAGCCUGCCCUCUAGAGAUCAAAUCUUCAAUAAACAUUUACCUCAGAGAAGGGCAACCCUGGACAUAAAGCCAAACGCCUGCAAAACACGGAGUCCAGAGCAGUUAGUUACCUGCCCCGCCCUGCGCUCUGGAGCUGGGAGACCCCAGAGCCGCCCAACCAGAUAAAGGCUUGCUGGCCUGCUGGGGAAGCCUGAGAAAUCACAGGGGAAGAAGGGCUGCUCUCUGCAAGCCAGGGCACCAGGGCAGCAGACUGCGAGGUGGGGAAGCAAUCUGGCUCAAAUAAACAAACCAGGAAAUGAGUGUCACC
rnacentral:lncRNA from 1 species